CGGCUAAAAGGAAACAGCUUGCUGCUUCGCUGACGAGUGGCGGACGGGUGAGUCAUGUCUGGGAAACUGCCUGAUGGAGGGGGAUAACUACUGGAAACGGUAGCUAAUACCGCAUAACGUCGCAAGACCAAAGAGGGGGACCUUCGGGCCUCUUGCCAUCGGAUGUGCCCAGAUGGGAUUAGCUAGUAGGUGGGGUAACGGCUCACCUAGGCGACGAUCCCUAGCUGGUCUGAGAGGAUGACCAGCCACACUGGAACUGAGACACGGUCCAGACUCCUACGGGAGGCAGCAGUGGGGAAUAUUGCACAAUGGGCGCAAGCCUGAUGCAGCCAUGCCGCGUGUAUGAAGAAGGCCUUCGGGUUGUAAAGUACUUUCAGCGGGGAGGAAGGGAGUAAAGUUUUUACCUUUGCUCAUUGACGUUACCCGCAGAAGAAGGACCGGCUAACUCCGUGCCAGCAGCCGCGGUAAUACGGAGGGUGCAAGCGUUAAUCGGAAUUACUGGGCGUAAAGCGCACGCAGGCGGUUUGUUAAGUCAGAUGUGAAAUCCCCGGGCUCAACCUGGGAACUGCAUCUGAUACUGGCAAGCUUGAGUCUCGUAGAGGGGGGUAGAAUUCCAUGUG
rnacentral:rRNA from 1 species